rnacentral:rRNA from 1 species
UGCGAGUCAACAUAGCAAUAUGUGGCAUACGGCUCAGUAACACGUAGUCAACAUGCCCAGGGGACGUGGAUAACCUCGGGAAACUGAGGAUAAACCGCGAUAGGUCAUUACUUCUGGAAUGGGUAAUGACUUAAAUCUAUAUGGCCCCUGGAUUGGACUGCGGCCGAUCAGGCUGUUGGUGAGGUAAUGGCCCACCAAACCUGUAACCGGUACGGGCUCUGAGAGGAGGAGCCCGGAGAUGGGCACUGAGACAAGGGCCCAGGCCCUAUGGGGCGCAGCAGGCGCGAAACCUCUGCAAUAGGCGAAAGCUUGACAGGGUUACUCUGAGUGAUUUCCGUUAAGGAGAUCUUUUGGCACCUCUAAAAAUGGUGCAGAAUAAGGGGUGGGCAAGUCUGGUGUCAACCGCCGCGGUAAUACCAGCACCCCGAGUGGUCGGGACGUUUAUUGGGCCUAAAGCAUCCGUAGCCGGUUCUACAAGUCUUCCGUUAAAUCCACCUGCUUAACAGAUGGGCUGCGGAAGAUACUAUAGAGCUAGGAGGCGGGAGAGGCAAGCGGUACUCGAUGGGUAGGGGUAAAAUCCGUUGAUCCAUUGAAGACCACCAGUGGCGAAGGCGGCUUGCCAGAACGCGCUCGACGGUGAGGGAUGAAAGCUGGGGGAGCAAACCGGAUUAGAUACCCGGGUAGUCCCAGCUGUAAACGAUGCAGACUCGGUGAUGAGUUGGCUUAUUGCUAACUCAGUGCCGCAGGGAAGCCGUUAAGUUUGCCGCCUGGGGAGUACGGUCGCAAGACUGAAACUUAAAGGAAUUGGCGGGGGAGCACCACAAGGGGUGAAGCCUGCGGUUCAAUUGGAUUCAACGCCGGG